rnacentral:lncRNA from 1 species
AAAAGCAACUAUGGUAAUAUUCAUGUAGUCAUGCUCUAUGCAGCAGUUAAAAAGAAAUGAGGUAGGACUAGAUAUAUUAAUAUAUGGAAAAAUGCCCACAAUGUAUCUUUAAGUGAAAAAAGCUAAUUGCAAGGAAGGAAAAUGUAAGGGUUUCUGGCUGGGUGCAGCGGCUCACGCCUGUCAUCCCAGCACUCUUGGAGGCCGAGGCAGGCAGAUCACCUGAGGUUAGAAGUUCAAGACCAGUCUGGCCAACACGGUAAAACCCCAUCUCUACUAAAAAUGCAAAAAUUAGGCAGACUUGGUGGCACAUGCCUGUAAUUCUAGCUACUUGGGAGGCUGAGGCAGGAGAAUUGCUUGAACUCAGGAGGUGGAGGCUACUGUGAGCCAAGAUGGUGCCACUGCACUCCAGCCUGGGCAAAUGAGCAACACUCUGUCUCAAUCAACCAAUCAAUCAAUCAAUCAAAUGUAUGGGUUUCAAUAUCUGGUGUUCUGUGUCUACUUGUGCUAGUAAAUAUCUGGGCUUGUUUGCAUAUAUGUGUUUAUGACAACAUUAAAUAGUUAUUUGCAUAUGCAUAGAAAACAUCCAAAAGGUUCACAUGAAAAUAUUUACAAUGCUGGCUUCCUCUGUUGAGUGAAAACAGGGACAAAUGACAUGCCUGGGUGAAAAAUGGAGAACAUAUACUCUAUAUAUCUUGAGAAGAAGUACCUUUGAGAGAAUGAAUUAUCAAAUUGUUAGCUUAAAUCUCUUAAGCAAACUGAUCACACAAAA